CCUGCCGACAGGCUCCUCACCUGUACAGCUGCCGCUAGGCUCCUCACCUGUACAGCUGCUGCCAGGCUCCUCAGGCACUCCACUGACAGCCACUUACCUUCCACCCGGCUCUGCUCCAGCUCACCUUUUGCCCGGCUCCUCACCUGCUCACCUUUGGUCUGGCUCUGCUCCUCCUCCAGAGAUGCCGAGCACCUCUGAGUCAAUCCCAGGUCAGUUCAGUCCAUCAGUCAUUCGGCCAUUUCCAAAAGCAGGCCCAAGAAAGAAAAAUGGCAAGGGUAGGAGGAAACGGUGCUCAGAAAUCCUAACUGAUACACCAGUUAAGAUGCGAUUGGAAGAGGAAGACCAGCAAAAAGGGAAAAACGUCAGAAAGAAUAUCUUGGGGGGGGGGGUGCAAAAGGAAAGCAGAAGAAGG